rnacentral:Y_RNA from 1 species
GGCUGGUCCAAUGGUAGUGGGCUAUCAGAAUUUAUUAUUAAUUAUUAGUGUCACUAAAGUGGGUAUAUAACCCCCUACUACUAAAUUUGACUAACUUGAA